rnacentral:rRNA from 2 species
AGCGGCGGACGGGUGAGUAAUACCUGGGAAUCUGCCUGAUAGUGGGGGAUAACGUCCGGAAACGGGCGCUAAUACCGCGUACGUCCUACGGGAGAAAGCAGGGGAUCUUCGGACCUUGCGCUAUCAGAUGAGCCCAGGUCGGAUUAGCUAGUUGGUGGGGUAAUGGCUCACCAAGGCGACGAUCCGUAACUGGUCUGAGAGGAUGAUCAGUCACACUGGAACUGAGACACGGUCCAGACUCCUACGGGAGGCAGCAGUGGGGAAUAUUGGACAAUGGGCGCAAGCCUGAUCCAGCCAUGCCGCGUGUGUGAAGAAGGUCUUCGGAUUGUAAAGCACUUUAAGCCGGGAGGAAGGGCUGACGCCUAAUACGUGUCAGUUUUGACGUUACCGGCAGAAUAAGCACCGGCUAACUCUGUGCCAGCAGCCGCGGUAAUACAGAGGGUGCAAGCGUUAAUCGGAAUUACUGGGCGUAAAGCGCGCGUAGGUGGUUCAGUAAGAUGGGUGUGAAAUCCCCGGGCUCAACCUGGGAACUGCUUUCAUAACUGCUGAACUAGAGUACGGUAGAGGGUAGUGGAAUUUCCUGUGUAGCGGUGAAAUGCGUAGAUAUAGGAAGGAACACCAGUGGCGAAGGCGACUACCUGGACUGAUACUGACACUGAGG